CUCCCUUUCCGCAGCUGAGAGGUUGUGCCAUCUGCCCUUUCAGCCUACUGAGCGCUGUGCUGCUCUCGAGGAUACAAGUUCAGAGUCCUCUUUUGUCAGGGUAGAUACAAACCAGCACUAUACCGGCAAAUGUGCUAACCUCUGAUAUUUGGGGUAUCCCAGUAUCAGAACAUCCCCAUCUCUUAAAGAACAUUUGUUUUCAAUUUUGUUCAGUAUCCACUGGAAAAAAAGAAAUGCAAAAAGCCCUUUCUGCUAGGUCACUGAAGGAUUACAUGACUGGGACUGUUAUGCCUAAUGCCUGUCACCUAGGACCAUGGAUACUUUUCUUUGUUGAAAAUGGAAACCUUACUAUCCUUUCGGUGAAGAAAAUUCUGUCGUUUGUCAGUGUUCAAGAUGCUGAUUCAGUUGCUGUCUCUGAAUGCCUCCUUCACUCCAGAACACCCUUGCAAGGGAGGGAUGGCCGGACAGCCUGCCCCCUACCUCCAGCUGAUGGAGUGAGAUGCUUGUAAUAUGGUUUAGAGUGUGCUCAUUGGCAGCCAACCUUGACCACACUGUGAAACAGAGUGCAAUACAAUGUGAUCUCCGUUCCAUAACUGCAGGCAGAGAACAACAGAAAAAGUUGAAAACAAAUUCUGAAACUGAGUACUUCAGCUGAAAUGUGGUUUGGAUGCUCAUCACAGAUAAUUGGGAAAACAUAUUCAUAUCAAGUGAAAAACCCCAAUAGACUUAAAAGGAAACAGUUGGACUACCCUUUUUCCUUCAUGCAACUAUCUUUACUCAUUCUUUAAGUUUUUUGUUGUUUUUGUU
ensembl:lncRNA